rnacentral:lncRNA from 1 species
CAUACAUAGGGAAACUUAAAGGCCAUGGGCUUCCAGUGAACACACUUGGAAAAUUGGAAGAUCUCAAUGAUAGCUUUGAAAGAAUCCUUUGUCUCCUAAAGUUUCCAGGUUCAUCCUGUAAUAGGACUAUGGAUAGGACUGUGGAUCAACCCCAGGACAGAUUAUAGGGUUGCAGAUGGAAGUCUUGGAGCAGAGGGCAGUGGAAAAUCAGGGCAGUCUGAUGAAUGAUCGUCAUUGAGUACACGUCUUUCCUUAAAAAACUGCAUUCAGAUGAGGUCCUAAUAGAUUUUCCCAAGUUUCUCAACUGAUUUUCUUGGGAUUUGACAUUUGGAGAAAUUUUCACAUCCUCCUGGAAAUGUGCAGAAUAACUGCUCUGCGGAUACACCGCCUUUGUGUUUACCAGGCUGUGCAUUCUGG